AAACAACCUGUGUCUCCUCAUCGCCUUGACUGCUGUAGCUGAGAAGUGGAUGGAAGAGUCUUUGUCGCCCAGGGACACGACCCCAGUGUUGCAGGAACAGCAUGAACACAAGCUAAGGGCCUAAGACAUUUGUGGAACCUGCCCUCAUUCUCUCUUGGUCUCGUCUCACAGUGGCGAUAAGCCCUCCUGCAGGUCUCACUCCAUGCAGA
rnacentral:lncRNA from 1 species